ensembl:snRNA U6 U6 spliceosomal RNA
AAUGUGAUACAUACAUGCAAUAAAACACUAUUCAGCCUACAGAGAAGAUUAACAUGGCCCCACAGAAGGAUAACACACAAAUUCAUGAAGUGUUCCGUAUUUUU